rnacentral:misc_RNA from 1 species
AACGCAUCUUGCGCUCUUUGGUAUUCCAAAGGGCAUGCCUGUUUGAGUGUCAUUAAAUUCUCAAAGCAUUUGCUUUUGCAAUUGCUUUGGAUUUGAAGAUUGCUGGCUAAGGUCAGCUUCUUUGAAAUGCAUAAGUGGGUCUUUGCUGGAUCAACAUAGAUGUGAUAAGGUCAUCAUCUGAGAUUUAGACAACCUACUACAACCAUUAUUACUACUUGAUAUUUGACCUCAAAUCAGGUAAGACUACCCGCUGAACUUAA